CCUACGGGGGGCAGCAGUGGGGAAUAUUGCACAAUGGGGGAAACCCUGAUGCAGCGACGCCGCGUGAGUGAAGAAGGAAUUCGGGAUGUAAAGCUCUAUCAGCAGGGAAGAAAAUGACGGUACCUGAGUAAGAAGCCCCGGCUAACGACGUGCCAGCAGCCGCGGUAAUACGUAGGGGGCAAGCGUGAUCCGGAUUUACUGGGUGUAAAGGGCGUGUAGGCGGGAGGGCAAGUCAGAUGUGAAAACUCUGGGCUCAACCCAUAGCCUGCUUUUGAAACUGUACGGCUGGAGUGCAGGAGAGGUAAGUGGAAUUCCUAGUGUAGCGGUGAAAUGCUUAGAUAUUAGGAGGAACCCCAGUGGCGAAGGCGGCUUACUGGACUGUACCUGACGUUGCGGCUCGAAAGCGUGGGGAGCAAACAGGAUUAGCUCCCCUUGUAGUC
rnacentral:rRNA from 1 species